ACUUUUGUGGCUUACUAUAGGUAUAAAUUGAAGCCUCAUGUGCUGAAUCCAGUAUUUAACUCCUUGAAAUAUCAUCUCAACCCCAAAUUCUCCCCUUAACUGCCUGUCCGCCUCUCAUUGUCCAUUUCUGUCAUCUUUCCAGAAUGCAGAGCUUCCCACAUUAUCUCGUAGUAAUUAACUCUAAAGUCCCAGAGACUCUUGUAUUAAUUGUAGCACGAACUGGACCUAAUUUAAUGGGAUUUUCCUCUGCUUGUCUCAUCCGGAGGUUGAUAAAGAUGAAUGUCACACAUCAUCCAGUAUGGAAGUUUCAGAAGUUAGAAGACAUUUGCUAAGUCAAGUUACUUAAAUCUGGCAACUUCAGCGGUAAUUUCAGCCAGUUUGCAUUUAAUGGAAGAAGACCAUUGUCUGCUCAUGUUUAUAUCCUCUAAAGUUGAUUUGUCAAAUGUAUUAGAAAGAUGAUUUGCGAAGGGCCCUGGAAUACUGGGAUCAAGACAGAUGCGAGUCCUGCCUCUAUGGAGUCUUGAGUCUGUUGGGGAGACAGACAUUAUAUUACAUCCAUACAAGGAUGGUCUGCACCGGGAGACGAGAAUCGAAUUGUACUAGGGCAACCUAGCAUCUCAGGACUGCAGCUCACCUGGGUAAGUGAGAAUACCUGUCUCUUUAGAUGUUUGUUUUGAGUUUUAUACUGACAUUUUAAUUAAUCUGUUAGUAAAAUGAAGUUAUUUUCAGUUUGGAAAAAGUAGGAAGACACAAAGUUGAUAAACUUACAUAUAAUGUCAUUUUAAUAGAACUACAAUCUACUAAAUUUCAGUGUUAGAUGACUGAUGAUACAUUUUUGCAUAGUUGAUUUUUCUAGAGGAGUAUUUAUUGAGUAUAAUGUAACUGUAAAAUUAGAAUGAGGGAAGUAC